rnacentral:rRNA from 1 species
CCUAGCCUUGGAGUGGGGAAUAACAGCUGGAAACAGCUGCUAAUACCGCAUGAUGCAGUUGAGUCGCAUGGCUCUGACUGCCAAAGAUUUAUCGCUCUGAGAUGGACUCGCGUCUGAUUAGCUAGUUGGUGGGGCAACGGCCCACCAAGGCGACGAUCAGUAGCCGGACUGAGAGGUUGGCCGGCCACAUUGGGACUGAGACACGGCCCAGACUCCUACGGGAGGCAGCAG